UGAGUUUGAUCAUGGUUCAGAACGAACGCUGGCGGCGUGCUUAACACAUGCAAGUCGAACGCGAAAGGGACUUCGGUCCCGAGUAGAGUGGCGCACGGGUGAGUAACGCGUAAGUAAUCUACCCCUGUAUCUGGAAUAACCCACCGAAAGGUGAGCUAAUACCGGAUACGUUUAUCUUGAUGCGAAUGAUGAUAAAGAAAGGUGGCCUCUUCAUGAAAGCUACCGUACAGGGACGAGCUUGCGUACCAUUAGCUGGUUGGUAGGGUAAUGGCCUACCAAGGCGACGAUGGUUAGCGGGUCUGAGAGGAUGAUCCGCCACACUGGAACUGAAACACGGACCAGACUCCUACGGGAGGCAGCAGUGAGGAAUAUUGCGCAAUGGGGGCAACCCUGACGCAGCGACGCCGCGUGGACGAUGAAGGCCCUUGGGUCGUAAAAUCCUGUCAGAUGGAAAGAAAUGUACAGGUGUUAAUAUCGCCUGUAUUUGACGGUACCAUCAAAGGAAGCACCGGCUAACUCCGUGCCAGCAGCCGCGGUAAUACGGAGGGUGCGAGCGUUGUUCGGAAUUCU
rnacentral:rRNA from 1 species